CACCGAGGUGUGCUNGCCUGCUCCUNACUUGCGCGGUNAAGGAGGUGANUANUACGUAGGCAACCUGCCCUCAAGACUGGGAUNNCUACCGGAAACGGUAGCUAAUACCGGAUAAUUUAUUUUGCAGCAUUGUGAAAUAAUGAAAGGCGGAGCAAUCUGNCACUUGAGGAUGGGCCUGCGGCGCAUUAGCUAGUUGGUGGGGUAACGGCCCACCAAGGCGACGAUGCGUAGCCGACCUGAGAGGGUGAACGGCCACACUGGGACUGAGACACGGCCCAGACUCCUACGGGAGGCAGCAGUAGGGAAUCUUCCGCAAUGGGCGAAAGCCUGACGGAGCAACGCCGCGUGAGUGAUGAAGGUUUUCGGAUCGUAAAGCUCUGUUGCCAAGGAAGAACGUCUUCUAGAGUAACUGCUAGGAGAGUGACGGUACUUGAGAAGAAAGCCCCGGCUAACUACGUGCCAGCAGCCGCGGUAAUACGUAGGGGGCAAGCGUUGUCCGGAAUUAUUGGGCGUAAAGCGCGCGCAGGCGGUUCUUUAAGUCUGGUGUUUAAACCCGAGGCUCAACUUCGGGUCGCACUGGAAACUGGGGAACUUGAGUGCAGAAGAGGAGAGUGGAAUUCCACGUGUAGCGGUGAAAUGCGUAGAUAUGUGGAGGAACACCAGUGGCGAAGGCGACUCUCUGGGCUGUAACUGACGCUGAGGCNCGAAAGCGUGGGGNGCAAACAGGAU
rnacentral:rRNA from 1 species